AUGGACUGGAACUACGGCCCCGAGGAGCAGGUCCUGUGGCCGGCGUCGGUCCUCGCCGGCGUCCUCAUGUGCGCCGCCGUAUAUAAGGUAACUAAAAAGGUUAGCUCAUCGUGCUUCAAGUGUUAUGAUGGAUUAAGUCCAAUGCAAAAGCUUGAGUGGAAUAAUAGGGGCUUCUCUACGGUCCAUGCAUUGGUUGCUGCUGCCGUUUCCUUUUACUUGGUCAUGAUAUCUGGCCUCUUCAGUGAAGAUGUCAAUGGCAUAAUCAUUGACAGAAAGUCAUGGUUAUCCGAUUCCAUGUUUGGGGUCUCGAUCGGGUACUUUUUCACAGACUUGGCGAUGAUCCUAUGGCAUUUUCCAUCUUUAGGUGGAAAAGAAUUUCUCUUGCAUCACGGACUUUCCAUGUACGCAAUCUGUCUUGCUUUGUUCAGUGGGAAAGCACACAUGUACAUACUCAUGGUCCUCUUCACUGAAGCCACCACUCCAUUUGUGAACCUUAGAUGGUAUCUGGAUGUUGCUGGUCAGAAGGAUCACAACCUUUACUUAUACAAUGGAUUGGCUAUGUUUGUCGGAUGGCUGAUUGCUCGGAUAAUCUUGUUCGUAUAUUUCUUCACUCAUGUCUACUCCCAUUAUGAUCAGGUGAAGUCCAUCUUCGCCCUGGGAUUCUACGGCAUAAUGACAGUGCCACCGACGCUGGCCGUGAUGAACGUGUUCUGGUUCCGGAAGAUAUGUAGGGGGAUGGUCAGAACCCUGUCGAAGAUGAAGCAGCAUACCGCAAACGGGAAGACGGAUUAG
rnacentral:rRNA from 1 species